AUUUUACAUCAUUUUUCUAUGUAAAAUAUAUAUUAAUUAUCUUCCAAGCUGAGGUUUUCGCGCUUUGCAGCCUUUUUUGUCCGGAGGUUAUACAUGAGAAUGAGAAGUAUUCAGUUUAAUCUGUAUACCUCACUCUCUCGGGAUAUAGUUUAGAGUAACUGUUUACAGUCUACUCUAUUCUCUACCCCUGGCCUCGCGUUUUAUCGCUCAAGUCUCGGGCUGACAACGUCUCCCCGUGCAAGGUGAAACAGUGGAUUACUAGGCAAUGCCAAAUCCAUAAACUUUAUGAUCUCUUUUGAUCUUUUUUUUGCUACCAGUCAGUGGACAAUCUUAAAAAAAUAACUCUCUUUU
rnacentral:misc_RNA from 1 species